GCGGAGCUGGUGAGUGGAGCGGUGGAGGUACGUGGGGGGAGUGGGUAGGGCGUAGUUGUGGGGUGUAAGGGGUUGGAGGGCGGUUGUGCAGGGUGAGAGUGAAGACUCGGAGUGUAACUGCGAGCUGGCUUGCGAUACGGGCGGAUUAGAGUGAGGCAUGUGAGAACGGAAUUCCUGGGGGAGCGGGGAAAUGCGCAGAUAUCAGGAGGAAAACCGGUGGCGAAGGCGGGUCUCUGGGCAUUACCUGACGCUGAGGAGCGAAAGUGUGGGGAGAGAACAGGAUUAGAUACCCUGGUAGUC
rnacentral:rRNA from 1 species